UACAACCUCUAGCUUUUAAUGAAUGUGUGACAUUACGAAAUUAAAAUGGAUUUUGUUACGUGUUGGCGAUUUUUUUACACCUGCGAUUGUUCGCAGCUAGCUUUAGCGACUAAGCUGCAGCUAGCUAGAAGCAGCGGCGAGCUAAAUUUGUUAAUUUGAGUGUGUGGAUCAUUUUCUACCCGGCCCAGAUAUAAAGUAGUGCAGCAGUAACGACGCUGUGAAAAUGGACACAAGAGCCUUGAGGAAUCCAUAUCCUGACUAUGAUGGGAGUCCUGCGUCCACACAGGCUUUGUUUGAUUUUCAGGGAAAGCUCACAUCAGAGUUUGCCCAGCAGCUGAGCGUCAAGGUCAGUGAGCUCUUAGCUGUCAUGGAAAAUGGGCUGAAGUCUGCUGAUCCAAGAGAUUGCACUACUUACACAGGCUGGGCAGGCAUUGCCCUGCUCUACCUGCACCUCCAUAAUGUGUUCAGGGAUCCCUCCUACCUGCAGAGAGCACUAGAAUAUGUCAGCCGCAGCCUCAAGUGUUUGACCCGGCGUCAUGACGUCACCUUCCUGUGCGGAGACGCAGGACCGCUGGCUGUAGCUGCUGUAGUCUACUAUCGCCUUCAGAGGAUGCAAGAGACUGAUGAGUACAUUAACAGACUGUUGCAGUAUCACCAGACUGUGGUGACCGGUUUAGGUGGGCUGCCAGAUGAGAUGCUUUAUGGGCGGAUGGGCUACCUCUAUUCUCUCAUCUUCAUCAACCAGCAGCUUGGGCAAGACAGGAUCCCACUGCAGUACAUCCAGCAGAUCAGCGAAGCCGUUCUGGCGUCAGGCGAGCAUCUCAGCAGGAAGUUCCGGGUCCAGAACCAGAGCCCCCUGAUGUACGAGUGGUACCAGGAGCAGUAUGUUGGCGCUGCCCACGGCCUGGCUGGCAUUUACUAUUUCCUCAUGCAGCCAGGCUUUGUUUCUGCGGCGGAGCAUGUGCACAGGCUGGUGAAGCCCAGCGUCGAUUACGUCUGCCAUCUAAGAUUCCCCACAGGAAACUACCCUCCCUGCAUCGGAGAUGAUCGAGACCUGCUGGUGCACUGGUGCCAUGGAUCUCCAGGGGUUAUCUACAUGCUCCUGCAGGCCUACAAGGCUUUUGGUGUUCCUCAGUACCUGGAGGACGCUCUGCACUGCGGGGAGGUGGUGUGGCGGUACGGUUUGCUCAAGAAGGGCUAUGGAUUGUGCCAUGGUGCGGCAGGCAACGCCUACACCUUCUUAACCCUCUACCGGCACACGCAGGAUCCCAAGCACCUUUACAGAGCCUGCAUGUUUGCAGACUGGUGUAUGAACUACGGCAAACAUGGAUGCCGGACACCAGACACUCCCUUCUCUCUUUUUGAAGGCAUGGCAGGCACGAUCUACUUCUUGUCCGACCUUCUGCAGCCAAUGAAAGCAAGGUUCCCGGCCUUUGAGGUGUAGACAGGGUCCACAGGUAGUGCUCCCCAUCCACACUGCAGAUAAUUUAACAAGAAGGUCAGGAGGACUCAUUCUGCUCUCUGUCACACGCAUGCAUGGAAACACUGCAUUGCACCAUGGAGAGCUCUGGUGAAGAAGAAGAAGAAGGAGAAGAGAGAAAACGACGAUUGAACCUCCACAGAUUAUGCAAUGAAGGCUCUUUUGGGUAACUUAAUCCACCUUUGAUCCCUCAACUUUGCUUCGGAGUCACUUUCUUUCCAUUCAGUUCCAUAUAUAUAGACACUAAGGAGUUUCUACUCAAGGUAAAGCAAGAGAAGCUGCACAUCACAGUCCUCUAGAAUUACUCAUAUAUUGCGGAUGAGCUCGUGCAUUUUGCUGUUUUCAAGACAGAUCUGUUGAAGGGAAAUUGUUCAAAAACCUCAUACAUUACAAUCAUGAAAGCUAAUCUUAAGCUACCUACUACUCAGAACUGAUUUUCUUCAUACCUGUCUGAACUGCGUCAACUUUUCAAAUGGUUUUUGCCCUGCUGUUAUUUCACCAUAAGAGGAGGAGCAGUCUGGCUGUUAAAAAUACCUCCUUGUAAAUGAGCUCUCUGGUCUGCUGCUCCCCUGAGGUGGGCCACUGGCUUGCUGAGUUUUCUGUAUUUUCACUCAUCAACUGUGCAUUUCUUCCAAACUUUAAAACCUUAUUUGACAAGACAAAAUAUUCCUUUCUUUAUAAAAAAAAUAAGUUGUCAAUUUUUCUU